rnacentral:rRNA from 1 species
ACGCUCGACACCUACGGAAGGCAGCAGUAGGGAAUCUUCCACAAUGGACGCAAGUCUGAUGGAGCAACGCCGCGUGAGUGAAGAAGGUCUUCGGAUCGUAAAACUCUGUUGUUAGAGAAGAACACGAGUGAGAGUAACUGUUCAUUCGAUGACGGUAUCUAACCAGCAAGUCACGGCUAACUACGUGCCAGCAGCCGCGGUAAUCUGAGCGGGCUGGCAAGGC